AGUGAACGCUGGCGGUAGGCCUAACACAUGCAAGUCGAACGGCAGCACAGUAGGAGCUUGCUCUUACGGGUGGGGAGUGGCGGACGGGUUAGGAAUACAUCGGAAUUUACUUUUUCGUGGGGGAUAACGUAGGGGAACUUACGCUAAUACCGCAUACGACCUACGGGUGAAAGCAGGGGAUCUUCGGACCUUGCGCGAUUGAAUGAGCCGAUGUCGGGUUAGCUAGUUGGCGGGGUAAAGGCCCACCAAGGCGACGAUCCUUAGCUGGUCUGAGAGGAUGGGCCGCCACCCUGGAACUGAGGCACGGUCCAGACUCCUACGGGAAGCAGCAGUGGGGAAUAUUGGACAAUGGGCGCAAGCCUGAUCCAGCCAUACCGCGUGAGUGAAGAAGGACUUCGGGUUGUAAAGCCCUUUUGUUGGGAAAGAAAAGCAGCAGGUUAAUACCCCGCUAUUCUGACGGUACCCAAAGAAUAAGCACCGGCUAACUUCGUG
rnacentral:rRNA from 1 species